rnacentral:lncRNA from 1 species
UCGUUGUUGAAGUCAGUGUUGUAAUGGUGAAUCGGGAUUUUUAAUGAAGUAGAUUUGAUUACUCUUGACUGUUUUGUGAAAUCGAGUUACGUCUGUGAUGAAGAAUUAAAAGGGUGUCUAUAGGAUUGAGUAUGCAAAGUGAAUGAAAUUUAUUGGGUUAAUCUAACAAGACAGUCAGUGGAUACAAGAUCGUGAGUAUAAAGCGGUAU